rnacentral:rRNA from 2 species
UACGGGGGAUGCAAGCGUUAUCCGGAAUUAUUGGGCGUAAAGCGUCCGCAGGUGGCUAAUCAAGUCUGCUGUCAAAGGUUGGGGCUUAACCCCAAAAAGGCAGUGGAAACUGAGAAGCUAGAGUGCAGUAGGGGUAGAGGGAAUUCCCGGUGUAGCGGUGAAAUGCGUAGAGAUCGGGAAGAACAUCGGUGGCGAAAGCGCUCUACUGGACUGCAACUGACACUCAGGGACGAAAGCUAGGGGAGCGAAUGGG